UAUAGCUUUAAUAUUGUGUUGUUAGUAUUAAUAUGGAGAUGUGUGCAGGGAUUAUGGUGUUGUAAGAGAGGUAGAGCUUUAUAAUUCUUGUGAGAACAUUUUGGACAAGGAGAUGUUACAACAAAAUGUUCGGAAAUUGAACUGCUCCAUAACAGCUGAAAAUGAUAACUGGAGCAUGGAACAAAAGCUCCCACCAGCACUAUCACCACUGCCACCACCACCUAUGGCAAGAUGAGUUAACGACCUUUGGGAAAUUGAACAGCACCAUCACAACUGAAAAUGAUCACUGCAGGCUGAGACAAAAAGCUGCCAUUGUAGAACUUAUUUCCAAUGAACACUAUAACACCACCACCACUACCACAGCACCACCACCACAUAUGGCAAGAUGAGUUAACAACUAAACCUUGUGAAGUUAACAACUGGAGCAUGGGAACACUGCUGUUACAGGGCAGCAAGCACAA
rnacentral:lncRNA from 1 species